rnacentral:rRNA from 1 species
CUGAGAGGAUGACCAGCCACACUGGAACUGAGACACGGUCCAGACUCCUACGGGAGGCAGCAGUGGGGAAUAUUGCACAAUGGGCGCAAGCCUGAUGCAGCCAUGCCGCGUGUAUGAAGAAGGCCUUCGGGUUGUAAAGUACUUUCAGCGGGGAGGAAGGGAGUAAAGUUAAUACCUUUGCUCAUUGACGUUACCCGCAGAAGAAGCACCGGCUAACUCCGUGCCAGCAGCCGCGGUAAUACGGAGGGUGCAAGCGUUAAUCGGAAUUACUGGGCGUAAAGCGCACGCAGGCGGUUUGUUAAGUCAGAUGUGAAAUCCCCGGGCUCAACCUGGGAACUGCAUCUGAUACUGG